rnacentral:rRNA from 1 species
CUUGACAUCCCGAUGCUAUUCUAGAGAUAGAAAGUUACUUCGGUACAUCGGUGACAGGUGGUGCAUGGUUGUCGUCAGCUCGUGUCGUGAGAUGUGGGUUAAGUCCCGCAACGAGCGCAACCCCUAUUGUUAGUUGCCAUCAUUCAGUUGGGCACUCUAGCGAGACUGCCGGUAAUAAACCGGAGGAAGGUGGGGAUGACGUCAAAUCAUCAUGCCCCUUAUGACCUGGGCUACACACGUGCUACAAUGGUUGGUACAACGAGUUGCGAGUCGGUGACGGCGAGCUAAUCUCUUAAAGCCAAUCUCAGUUCGGAUUGUAGGCUGCAACUCGCCUACAUGAAGUCGGAAUCGCUAGUAAUCGCGGAUCAGCACGCCGCGGUGAAUACGUUCCCGGGCCUU